UGGACAUUUCCCAGUUAAUGGUCCUCAUUU
rnacentral:piRNA from 1 species